AACGAACGCUGGCGGCAGGCUUAACACAUGCAAGUCGAACGCCCCGCAAGGGGAGUGGCAGACGGGUGAGUAACGCGUGGGAAUCUACCUAGUUCUACGGAACAACACAGGGAAACUUGUGCUAAUACCGUAUACGCCCUAUGGGGGAAAGAUUUAUCGGAAUUAGAUGAGCCCGCGUUGGAUUAGCUAGUUGGUGAGGUAAUGGCUCACCAAGGCGACGAUCCAUAGCUGGUCUGAGAGGAUGAUCAGCCACACUGGGACUGAGACACGGCCCAGACUCCUACGGGAGGCAGCAGUGGGGAAUAUUGGACAAUGGGCGCAAGCCUGAUCCAGCCAUGCCGCGUGAGUGAUGAAGGCCUUAGGGUUGUAAAGCUCUUUCAGUAGGGAAGAUAAUGACGGUACCUACAGAAGAAGCCCCGGCUAACUUCGUGCCAGCCGCCGCCGUAACAC
rnacentral:rRNA from 1 species